GGGCGAUGAAGAGAAAAAUUAGCAUUUCUCGAUGCUGAGUUUUGAAUCUGUGGACCUCAUUUGUUCACGUUGAUGACUUUUUAUGCGUGUCCGAGCCCU
rnacentral:snoRNA from 1 species